rnacentral:tRNA from 1 species
AGAAACUUAGGAUAAAUAGACCAGAGGCCUUCAAAGCCUCAAGCAGAAGUUAAAAUCUUCUAGUUUCUG